AGUGGAACACUGAGUGGAGUUGGGGAAUGUCAGCAGGAAAAUGGGCACUGUUACUGCAAAUCUAAUGUUUGUGGAGAUUCCUGUGACACUUGUGAAGCUGGUUAUUAUGCUCUUGAAAACAAGAAUUAUUUUGGCUGCAGAGGCUGCCAGUGUGACGUUGGAGGAUCCCUCAGCCCGGCAUGUGCCGAGCACUCGGGUGGCUGCCAGUGCAGGGCCCAUGUCGUGGGGACAGCCUGUCAGGAGU
rnacentral:lncRNA from 1 species